rnacentral:rRNA from 1 species
AUUGAACGCUGGCGGCAUGCCUUACACAUGCAAGUCGAACGGCAGCGGACCUUCGGGUGCCGGCGAGUGGCGAACGGGUGAGUAAUGCAUCGGAACGUACCUUUCAGUGGGGGAUAACGUAGCGACAGUUACGCUAAUACCGCAUAUUCUGUGAGCAGGAAAGCAGGGGAUCGCAAGACCUUGCGCUGAUUGAGCGGCCGAUGUCAGAUUAGCUAGUUGGUGAGGUAAAGGCCUACCAAGGCGACGAUGCGUAGCCGACCUGAGAGGGUGAACGGCCACACUGGGACUGAGACACGGCCCAGACUCCGACGGGAGGCAGCAGUAGGGAAUCUUCGGCAAUGGGCGAAAGCCUGACCGAGCAACGCCGCGUGAAUGAUGAAGGCCUUCGGGUUGUAAAAUUCUGUUAUAAGGGAAGAACGACUUUAGUAGGAAAUGGCUAGAGUGUGACGGUACCUUAUGAGAAAGCCACGGCUAACUACGUGCCAGCCGCCGCAGCAAAAC